rnacentral:misc_RNA from 1 species
GGAGGAAGAAGAAGAAGAGAAUCAGAGGCUCUGGAGGAUCUUGAGGGUCUCGCCAAUGUGCUUCUCGGGCUGGAACUGGUUGUUGUAGAUGUACUGGACGACGCCGUUCUUGUCGAGCACGUACGUCUGCCUUCCCGGCAGCGUCCCGAACAGGUCAGCCGGCACACCCCACUCCUUCCUCACCUUGUUCCCCUCGUCGCUCAGCAGCGUGAACGGCAGCUUGUACUUCUUCUUGAACUCCUUGUGGGAGGCGGCGUCGUCGCCGCUGAUGCCGAUGACCUCGGCGCCGGCCUUCUUGAACUUCUCGUAGGAGUCGCGGAAGGCGCAGGCCUGCUUGGUGCAUCCGGGGGUCUCGUCGGCGGGGUAGAAGUACACCACCACCGGCCUCCCCUUGAACUUGGACAGCGACACCGCCCUCCCGUCCUGGUCCCUCAGCGUGAAGUUGGGCGCCGCGCUGCCCUUGCUCACCUUGCCGCAGACGAUCCUGUUCCUCCCCGUCGUCGACGGCAGUGCUGCGCGCGCCGGCGUUGGCGUUGUUGUCGCGCUGAGGGCGCCGCGGCGGAAGGCGGCGGUGGAGGGCGUGCAGAGGAGCGGCCGCGGCCGCGGCGGCGACGAGCGCUGGCGCGGGGGCAGGAGCAGGGACGGCCUGCAGGCGGUGGAGACCGCGAAUGCCAUCGCCGGAGCGCGGUGGGAGAUUCACGGCGAGGAUGCGUGGCCUGCAGCUGCGGCUGUUCGUCGGGUUUGGGUGUGUGUGUU